rnacentral:rRNA from 1 species
GACGAACGCUGGCGGCGCGCUUAACACAUGCAAGUCGAACGGAAAGGCCUGCUUUCCCUUGUGGUUUGCGGGUCCUCGAGUGGCGAACGGGUGAGUAACACGUGAGUGUUCUGCCCCCAACUUGCGUAUAAGCCUGGGAAACUAUAUCUAAUUCCCGAUAGGACUGCAUGGUGGUGCCUUUGGUGGAAAACGAUUUUCUAGUGGUUGAUGAUGAGCUCGCGGCCUAUCAGCUUGUUGGUGGGGUAAUGGCCUACCAAGGCGGCGACUGGUAGCCGGCCUGGGAGGGGGGACGGCGACAUUGGGACUGGGACACGGCCCAGACGGCUACGGGAAGCAGGAGUGGGGAAGAUUGCACAAUGGGCGGAAGCCUGAUGCAGCGAGGGAGUGUGGAGGAUGACGGGAUUCGGGAUGUAAGCUACUUGGGACCGAGAGGAAGGCACCUGGUUGGAAGGGUGGUGACGGUAGUGGUAGAAGAAGCACCGGCUAACUACGUG